UACGAAGGGGGCUAGCGUUGCUCGGAAUCACUGGGCGUAAAGGGUGCGUAGGCGGUUCUUUAAGUCCGGGGUGAAAUCCUGGAGCUCAACUCCAGAACUGCCUUUGAUACUGAAGAACUUGAGUUCGGGAGAGGUGAGUGGAACUGCGAGUGUAGAGGUGAAAUUCGUAGAUAUUCGCAAGAACACCAGUGGCGAAGGCGGCUCACUGGCCCGGUACUGACGCUGAGGCGCGAAAGCGUGGGGAGCAAACAGG
rnacentral:rRNA from 1 species